AGCUAGAGUUUGAUCCUGGCUCAGGAUGAACGCUGGCGGCGUGCUUAACACAUGCAAGUCGAACGAGCGCUUUUUGCGCGAGUGGCGGACGGGUGAGUAACGCGUGGGUAACCUACCUUAUACAGGGGGAUAACAGCGGGAAACUGCUGUUAAUACCGCAUAAGCGCACAGAACCGCAUGGUUCAGUGUGAAAAGCUCCGACGGUAUAAGAUGGACCCGCGUCUGAUUAGCUAGUUGGUGAGGUAACGGCCCACCAAGGCGACGAUCAGUAGCCGACUUGAGAGAGUGACCGGCCACAUUGGGACUGAGACACGGCCCAAACUCCUACGGGAGGCAGCAGUGGGGAAUAUUGCACAAUGGGCGAAAGCCUGAUGCAGCGACGCCGCGUGAGUGAAGAAGUAUUUCGGUAUGUAAAGCUCUAUCAGCAGGGAAGAAAAUGACGGUACCUGACUAAGAAGCCCCGGCUAAAUACGUGCC
rnacentral:rRNA from 1 species